GCUGGUGUGGCAGAGAUGGCAAUGCACCUCACCCGUAACGAGGCCGAUGCCGGUUCGAUUCCGGCCGCCAGCUCCA
rnacentral:tRNA from 1 species